GAUGAAGAACGUAGCGAAAUGCGAUACUUGGUGUGAAUUGCAGAAUCCCGUGAACCAUCGAGUCUUUGAACGCAAGUUGCGCCUCAAGCCAUUAGGUUGAGGGCACGUCUGCCUGGGCGUCACAUAUCGUUGCCUGAUGCCAGUUUCCUCGUGAUGGGUGACUGUGCAGGGCGAAUGAUGGCUUCCCGUGAGCAUUGUUGCCUCAUGGUUGGUUGAAAAUUGAGUCCUUGGUAGGGAGCGCCGUGAUAGAUGGUGGUUGAGUGACGAACGAGACCCAAUCAUGUGAGACCCCUACCGAAUUUGGCCUUCAUGACCCACAUGCGUCUUUGGAACGCUCAUGACGAGACCUCAGGUCAGGCGGGGCUACCCGCUGAGUUCAAGCAUAUCAAUAAGCGGAGGA
rnacentral:misc_RNA from 1 species